GCCUGGGUGGCUCAGUCUGUUGAGCAUCUGACUUCGGCUCAGGUCAUGAUCUCACAGUUUGUGGGUUCGAGCCCCGCGUCGGGCU
rnacentral:tRNA from 1 species